rnacentral:lncRNA from 1 species
CCUGGCCCUCUUUUCCCAAGAUGAGGAUGCGCAAGAAGACGGGCAAAAAAGAGAAAAGCCAGUCCAUAAGGGAGAGCCCGUCCCCGACUCUGGCUGCUGCUGCCAGACUCUCAGCGAUGAUACACGGCAAAGGCCGAGCGUACGCCAACGCCAUGCUGGUGGACCAGGUGGAUGGACAUGAUAUUAAAUACCAAUCUCCAGAGGAGGAGGAGGAGGUGGAGGUGAGCCCUGAGCCCCGUCUCGGCAGUCCAUGCUGGGACUCCUUUUCCACGACUCCACCAGCCCUGGCGGUGGACUGCUGCCAGAACUGGCACCCGGCCUCACCCCGCGGCGGGGAGCGGGGCACCCGAGGCCCGGAGAGCCACAAGGAGCCGUCCCCGUGUACAUCUCCCCCCUCUCCCUUCGCCUCCUCCCCGUCUUUUCCUUCCUCCCCACUGGCUUCCGCCUUCCGCUUGUUCGAGGGGGCUCAGAGGCGUCCGACGCAGCCGUGCCUGUCAGUUUCUCCUGCUUUGAACCACAGAGGAUGCAGCUUGACCGAAGCGAGCCGGGGCCUGAGUCCCAGUCUCGAGUGUGACAGUGGAGAGGAAGACAUACUGGGACACUCCUAUCCGUGCGCCUCUGCAAAGAAGCUGUUUGUCCUGCGAUCCAGCUCAAGGGAGGAGAGGGACUCUUUCGAUGCCUCACCGGACUUCAACCGCACGCACUCUGACAGCUCGCACACGCUCGCCAAGAACCCGGAGGAAGCCGAGGUUCGCCUGCGCUCCUACUCCUACUCCUCGCCCAAGGCGAAGCCGUCGCGGCCACUGCUGAACCGAGACGCCACCAUCAGCGACCUGUCAGAAGAUGGUGCGUUCAGUGGCGGCGGUCGCUCUGCUCCAAGCUUUAUCUCUCUCGAAAUCCCUCUCUCCC